GUAUCAGUAUUCUAUUGGCCAAUUAAUCAAUUUACCAAAAAAUUAACUUCAUACUAACCAGAUCCUUAAAGUACACAUGCAUCAACCUUUUGACCAUGUCCUCAGUCUUAAUACUAAAAAAACUUUAAAUGAUAACUAAAUUAUUAUAUUUGGGUUUAAUUUUCAAUGGACAAUUCUCUCCAGAGGAAAAAGAAAAGUAGUUACUAUAUGUAUAUAUACAUCACAAUACUCUCACAUUUGAUGCAUUUUAAGUAUUUAAUAUAGAUAUUGCUUUCAUGGUUUCCAAUAAUAAUAAUGUUGUUUCGUUGACUUCCAAAUCACAUAAGGAAUGUUUGCACACGGUUUAUGUUUAAUAAUGUUGCAAUUCCAAAUCCGAGCCACAAAGGCUCUCAUGCUCUGAAAGACCUCUUAAUAUAUCGAUCUUGCACAUAUGCUGCAAAAGUUCCAUCUUGAACCAUAUCCCCACAGAACUAGCACGUCACUAGGCGUAAUGGGCAGUCCGAGGAUUGGUCUUUCUCCUAGCUGAGGAAAAAAAAGAAGAAUGGUAUGAGAAGAGUGCAUAAAAUGCAAUAAAUCUGCAGCAAUUUCUUAUGAGAAUAAAAUAUUAAAAGACACAUUUGAUUGAAAAUUUAACUACACAAAGGAAAGAACUAUGUUAAAUGUUAUGUAUGGAAUUCUAUUAGGAACUGCAACUGAGGAAAGAAAGUCAAAAUAUCAAUCUUGACUGCCAAUAAUUUUUUAGGUUUUAAGUCCAUAAUAUUUAUCAUAGGCAGUACUAACGAUGAAAAGUUCAUAGACAAAUGCCAAAAUCUGAGGCAUUAGAACAGUAACAAGACAACAAACAACACAGAUUAGCAAUGCAGCAAUAGACACUAUUUUUAGAAACAAUGAUUGAUGCCAACUUGGACACCUAAAUCAAAAAAACAAAUGAAAGGCCCAAAGAAACAUGCUACCAAACAAACCUCUAGAAACCAAUCUGCUUAGCAGCUUGCCAACAAUUAUAAUCCAAAGGAGGUCAAGUCUAAACUUUUUGAAACAAGACAAUACAACUACAUAUUAGGAACAAUUAUGAACAAUCCAAUUAUUACACAAAGAUAACAAGCAUAUAAAUUCUCUUCUGACAUACAUACAUUGUAACUGUGGAACUAAUUAACUUCACAAAACAACAUCAUUCUCAUUGGCAUUUUUGCUAAAGAUACAAUUUCAUUCAUACAAAUUUAAGAAAAAGAAUAGAUAAAUAAAAUAAAAAAUGUAUAAAUUACUGAUAUAAAUAAACAAAUAAUAACAUAAUUUCAUUCAUACAAAUUUAAGAAAAAUAAUAGAUAUUGUAAAACCAACCUUAAACGUGUAACAUGUCCAAUUAAUCAUUAAUUCAGCUCAUGGUAAAAGGUGUCAUCAAUCAAUUGAUCGACACGAGAGCAAGUAGAAAGAACUCUGAUCACAAACUCUUUAGGGGCCAGCCACACUCCUAUCAUUUCCUCCCCAAUUUGAGUUCUAGUAUUUCAUUUUAUCAUAAACUAUAAAGAAUAUGUGAAACCAAAUGAUAACCCAAUUCUCAGAAUAUAAUAUGUUUAUUUUACUUGAAAAAUACCAACUGAUUAAGCAAUAGAACAGUACCAAAAUGUAAUACUUGUCAAAACAAUGAGUCUAUCUUUGGUUGAAUAAGUAAACGGAUAAAUCCAUUCCUGGGCAUUACACACGUAAUUCUAAUUGAAGUAAACAAAUGUUACCUAUAUUCUUUUUUAUAAGGCCUAAAUAUAGAUUAAUACCCUAAACUUUGCAAUUAAUGCAAUUGAUCAUACACAUGCAUACACUUGUUAAGCAACUUACAACUUUAAGCUCAAACUUCAUGCAAUUAUAAGUUGGCNNNNNNNNNNNNNNNNNNNNNNNNNNNNNNNNNNNNNNNNNNNNNNNNNNNNNNNNNNNNNNNNNNNNNNNNNNNNNNNNNNNNNNNNNNNNNNNNNNNNAAAAGAGAGAGGAAAAAAAAGAGCUGAAAUUAAAACCCAUCACCAGAAGCUAUAAAUGAUCAAAACCCAUAAAGAUAAAGACAUUGUAACAAUCUAAGGAAAAAUUUAAUUUUAAAAAGGAAAAGGAAAACCUUAAUUAAAAAAAUUAAAACCCACUUAUAGAAACAGACACUUGUCAAACCCGAUAAAAGUAAAAUGUUUUAAAAUAAACCAAAAUUUAGUACCUAAAGGAAACAAAGCUAAACAACAAACGAAAAUAGAAAAACAAUAGUAUUUACCUGAGGCACCAGGAAGAGGAAUGCAUGUCUGGUGGGGAGAAGUGGCAAACGCCAUUUUAUCAAAACCUUUUUUCUAAAACAAAUUAACAAAAACACAAAUCUUUGCCUGUUAAUGCAAUUGUUUUAAACAAUUUCUCAUGUCAAAAGCAAUUAUUCUAAACAUUUAAGGAAGUUUUCAGAACUUCUUCUCACUCCCAGUCCCAGCUCAGCUAUACCCCUCAAUUACCACAUUAUUUUCUUAAAUGAGUAAAAAAUAUUCGAAUGAUAAGUAGCCUAGCAUUUUUAAUAGGACAAAUUACAUGCUGGAAUGUGCUGAGAGAUGCUAAGAUGGAGCCUCCAAUCCAAGCACUAUACUUUCUCUCCGUAAGUUCUUCAGAAACAGUAUCAGAGUUCAGAUUAAUUUGAACUACUAGCAGAUUGAAAGGUUUCAAAUAGGUAAAUUUAUUUUUUGGAUAAAGAUAGAUGGGUUCCCAAUUCACAGUUUUCAAUUCUUAACCUUAUAAUUCGAAAACUCAAUGACAAAUCCUUAUAAUUCGAAAACUCACCGACAAAUAUUCACGCUUAGCCGCGAUUAGAGGAAUCGCCGCUGAGAUUGAGAUUGUGUCGUUACAUAGAAAUCGUACAAGGAUUCGCCGCUGAGAUUGUGUAGUUGCAGGUAAAUCGCUGCUAGAAAAAUCGCCGUUGAAAUUGUGGUUUUUUGCUUUGCCUGAUGGGGGUAAUUAUUUCGUCCAAAAAUGAGUUUAAUCCUAUCCGUUUAGUUAUACCAGUGGACGAUGAGUUAUGAUUUUUAAUCACAAGUGUUCAUAAUUGAAUUAUAAGGUAGAGAUUAGAUUUAUAUUUUUAAUUUAGACUAUAAAAUAAUAUGAAUUUUCUAACAUGCGUUAUUAUACUCGCAUAUGCCACUGAUAUUAAAUUUCUACUUAACAUUAGCGAUAUAUUUGACAAAAAU
rnacentral:lncRNA from 1 species